GAGCUGAUGUGUGUGUGUGUGUAUCUGAGCUGAUGUGUGUGUGUGUGUGUGUGUAUCUGAGCUGAUGUGUGUGUGUGUGUGUGUAUCUGAGCUGAUGUGUGUGUGUAUCUGAGCUGAUGUGUGUGUGUGUGUGUAUCUGAGCUGAUGUGUGUGUGUGUGUGUGUCCACAGGGGCGGGGAGUGAGAGCGAAGAUGAGGUGGAGUUCCACACGAUCAACCGGACGUUCAGUCUGACCCAGGAUGCCCUGGACGGAGCGGACGCCACCGCAGAGCACACCCUGGUAACCCUGGCAACCCUCACACACGCCUGGAGACAUCCACAUGGAUGUGUGUGUUUGUUUACGUGUGGGUGUGUUUUGUCUGUGUGUGUGCUGGCAUGAUGGUGUGUGUCUGAGUGUGUGUACCUUUGUUUGCGUGUGUGUUUUGGUAUGAUGGUCCAUGGUGUGUGUGUGUGUGUGUGUGUGUGUGUGUGUGUGUGUGUGUGUGUGUGUGUGUGUGUGUGUGUGUGUGUUCAGAUGGAGGCUGACUCUGACUCAGACGGGACACACUCUAUGGUGGAAGGCUCUAGUAUGUAUCAUACCCCCGGACCUGGAACAGAGGACCCUACUUCUGAGGAGGAGGAUCUGGAUGUCACAGUGGAAGUGUGUCGACCUCAGUCGGUCUCCAUAGUUACGCAGACAGGAGGUAAGACCUGGACCAGCAGUCAGAAUACCCACAUGAGCACAUGAAGAUGAGGACCACCAGCAGCUGACAUAACUCUGUGUGUGUGUGUGUGUGUGUGCGUGUGCGUGUGUGUGUGUGUGUGUGUGCGUGUGUGUGCGUGUUCCCUCAGCUGUGCGUAGGCUAGAGGGGGAAGAGCAGGAGCAUAUCAGGUACCAUAUAUCCCAUAUACAUACAGUAUAUACAGUGGGGAAAAUAAGUAUUUGAACCCCUGCCGGUUUCGCAAGUUUGGCCACUUGCAAAGAAAUGUGUGAUCUAUAAUUGUAAUAGUAGGUGUAUUUUAACAGUGAGAAACAGAAUAUCAACAAAAAAAUCCAGAAAACUGCAUUUUAUAACAUUUAUGACUUAAUUUGCAUUUGAUGCAGAAAAUAAGUAUUUGAACCCCUAGCAAAUUAUGACUUAGUACUUGGUGGAAUAACCCUGGUUGGCAAGCACAGACGUCAGACUUUUCUUGUAGUUGGUCACCAGGUUUACACACAUGUCAGGAGG
rnacentral:lncRNA from 1 species